rnacentral:rRNA from 1 species
AUUGAACGCUGGCGGCAUGCUUUACACAUGCAAGUCGAACGGUAACAGGCCGCAAGGUGCUGACGAGUGGCGAACGGGUGAGUAAUGCAUCGGAACGUGCCCAGUCGUGGGGGAUAACGCAGCGAAAGCUGCGCUAAUACCGCAUACGAUCUAUGGAUGAAAGCGGGGGACCGUAAGGCCUCGCGCGAUUGGAGCGGCCGAUGUCAGAUUAGGUAGUUGGUGGGGUAAAGGCUCACCAAGCCAACGAUCUGUAGCUGGUCUGAGAGGACGACCAGCCACACUGGGACUGGGACACGGCCCAGACUCCUACGGGAGGCAGCAGUGGGGAAUUUUGGACAAUGGGCGCAAGCCUGAUCCAGCAAUGCCGCGUGCAGGAAGAAGGCCUUCGGGUUGUAAACUGCUUUUGUACGGAACGAAAAGGCUCUGGAUAAUACCUGGGGCUCAUGACGGUACCGUAAGAAUAAGCACCGGCUAACUACGUGCCAGCAGCCGCAGUAAGAC